rnacentral:rRNA from 1 species
UACGUAGGGGGCUAGCGUUGUCCGGAUUUAUUGGGCGUAAAGAGCGUGUAGGCGGCCAGGUAGGUCUGCUGUGAAAACUCGAGGCUUAACCUCGAGAUGUCGGCGGAAACCAUCUGGCUAGAGUCCGGAAGAGGAGAGUGGAAUUCCUGGUGUAGCGGUGAAAUGCGCAGAUAUCAGGAGGAACACCAAUUGCGAAGGCAGCUCGCUGGGACGUUACUGACGCUGAGACGCGAAAGCGUGGGGAGCAAACAGG